rnacentral:rRNA from 1 species
CGCGUAGGCGGGAUGGCAAGUCAGUCGUGAAAUCUCUCGGCUCAACCGAGAAACGUCGGCUGAUACUGCCGUUCUUGAGGGAUGCAGAGGAGACUGGAAUUUCCGGUGUAGCGGUGAAAUGUGUAGAGAUCGGGAGGAACACCGGUGGCGAAGGCGGGUCUCUGGGCAUCUCCUGACGCUGAGGCGCGAAAGCGUGGGGAGCAAACG